rnacentral:rRNA from 1 species
AGUAUCGUACGAAUAAGGAUCGGCUAACUCCGUGCCAGCAGCCGCGGUAAUACGGAGGAUUCAAGCGUUAUCCGGAUUUAUUGGGUUUAAAGGGUGCGUAGGCGGUUUGAUAAGUUAGAGGUGAAAUUUCGGGGCUCAACCCUGAACGUGCCUCUAAUACUGUUGAGCUAGAGAGUAGUUGCGGUAGGCGGAAUGUAUGGUGUAGCGGUGAAAUGCUUAGAGAUCAUACAGAACACCGAUUGCGAAGGCAGCUUACCAAACUAUAUCUGACGUUGAGGCACGAAAGCGUGGGGAGCAAACAGGAUUAGAUACCCUGGUAGUCCACGCAGUAAACGAUGAUAACUCGUUGUCGGCGCAUACACAGUCGGUGACUAAGCGAAAGCGAUAAGUUAUCCACCUGGGGA